rnacentral:rRNA from 1 species
GAGGAAAGCUGGCGGCGUGCCUAAUACAUGCAAGUCGAGCGAACAGACGAGGAGCUUGCUCCUCUGACGUUAGCGGCGGACGGGUGAGUAACACGUGGAUAACCUACCUAUAAGACUGGGAUAACUUCGGGAAACCGGAACUAAUACCGGAUAAUAUAUUGAACCGCAUGGUUCAAUAGUGAAAGACGGUUUUGCUGUCACUUAUAGAUGGAUCCGCGCCGCAUUAGCUAGUUGGUAAGGUAACGGCUUACCAAGGCAACGAUGCGUAGCCGACCUGAGAGGGUGAUCGGCCACACUGGAACUGAGACACGGUCCAGACUCCUACGGGAGGCAGCAGUAGGGAAUCUUCCGCAAUGGGCGAAAGCCUGACGGAGCAACGCCGCGUGAGUGAUGAAGGUCUUCGGAUCGUAAAACUCUGUUAUUAGGGAAGAACAAAUGUGUAAGUAACUAUGCACGUCUUGACGGUACCUAAUCAGAAAGCCACGGCUAACUACGUG